CUCAGUCCGAGAAGGUGGGCCUCAGUGGGGACAGAACUCCUUCAGUGAGAGUAGAAGGCGUUCAGGGCUGGAAUCACUGGGUUGCUGAGAGUAUGACCAUGUUCCAGAAACAUUCUUUCCUGACGUUUCGCCUGCAUCUAUGGCAGGCAUCCUCAAACGUUGUGAAGUCUGUUGGAAACUACAGUGGAGUUUAUAUAUUUGUGAAAUGUUCAGGAUGGGAGAAAGAACUCUUGUCUGUUUGAGCCAGGUGUGAAUGUGUGAAUGAUUAUCAUGGAAUAGCAUUUCAGCUUCAAGGUCUGGCUGCUUUCUGCCUGGGGGAAUCCUUUGUUUGGAGGUGUUAUCUGACCCAAAUUGUUUCCUGUCUGAAAUUCACCAGUUUGCAGAGUGUUGUCCUUUAUUUACUAUCCUGAUUUUAGAGUUUUUAAUACGGGUAGCCAGAUUUUGUUCAUUUUCAUGGUAUCCUCCUUUCUGCAUGCUUGUGGAUUUCAAUGGCUUCCCUGUGUAGUCUUGACAUGGAGGUUGUUAGAGUGGUCCAGCAUUUCUGUGUUCUCAAAUCAUAUGCUGUGUCCAGGUUGGUUCAUCGUGUGCUCUGCUGCGACUGACUUCUCUGGUUGAGUUAGUCUGCAGUGCCUUUCAGGUUCCUUGAUUCAUGUCAGAGCAGUACUGCAUUUGGUGGUCCCUAUGUAGCCCUUGUCCACAGCUGCAUGGUAUACAGUAGACUAUUGCAGAAGUGAGAGCAUCCCUCUUGACCUUUGCUGAACGUAGCAUUUGUCGGAUUUUCUUAGUAGGUCUGUAGAUAGUUUGUAGGUGGUGUUUCUUCAUCAGAUUCCCUAUGCAGUCAGCAGUUCCCUUGAUGUCUGGUAAGAACACACCUGCGUCAAACAGGCAAGAGUUCUUUCUCUCACCCUGAACAUUCCACAGAUAUAUAAACCCCACUUGACUGGUUUUCAACAGACCUCAUUAUCUCUGAGGAUGCCUGCCAUAGACGCCAGGACGUGGCCAUACAGCCCAGAAAACUCACAGCAACCCACGUUCAGUGAGCUUUGCACUACGGUUUGAUUUAAUCCAGGCAAUUAUUCCAUUCUGACAUAUGCCCCCCCCCCCCCCGCCCGAGACUUGUAAAAGGAGUCCUUGGUAUCCAGUGGGACUCCCCUAGAUACUCUGUGGAUGCUCAAGCCCCAUUAUAUACAAUGGGGCAGUACAAUGAGGCUCCUUAUAUAAAAUAGCAAAAGAAAAUAUCAAGACCAUUUGAAAAUCUUUUUUAGCAUUUUCAAGCCCUGGAUGGUUGAACCCAGUUACAGAAGGCCAAUAGUAUGUACUUGAAAUUAAGCCGCACAAGCAACUGUGCGUCUUUUUAGAGUACCAUUCUGACAUCAUGUUGUGCCCUCUGUCAAUACUGCAUUGCUGCCAAGGCUUUGUUUUCUCCCCACAUUAUGGGCUGCUGUGGAGAAACUGAUGACUUAAUGAGGGAAAGUCAUUUGCAGCAGUUCCUCCUCCUCUUCUUUCUUCUUCUGUCUUAUUAAGUAUAGCUGUGAAAGGAGAGGAAAACGCUUCUGGUAUUUAGAUAAAAAUGUGCUACUACGCUCAAAUUGCUAACCAUCACAGUUGUUAUCACAUCAUAUUCUUCUUUGGUGGUGUGCUGCUGUUUAAUAUUUAUUUAGUGCCAGCACAUGCUAGAUGCUGAUAGUUAUGAAUUAUGGAAUUAUUCUUUUCCGGCUCCAAAAUCCUUUUUAACUGUUUGGGAUGAUGAUAAGAUAUUCUGUCUUUUUAUCUCUUAAAUCUGCACAUUCUCAACAGCGGUGAUAAGACAUGCCACUGAUGGUGAAUUCCUGAUAAGAACAGCCACAUUAUUCUGAAUAGCUAUUUCUUAUUCAACAGUAAACUGGGGCGACUGCCCACUUUUACUUUAAAAAUUCUGAGACAGUCUUUGAGAACAAUCACUAUGUGCCAGAAAUGAGAAUUAAAGGUACAGAUGUAAAUUUAGAGAUUGUGGUUGUACCAGUAAUUCAUUUUCAAGGAAGUCUAUAUCCCAGAGCACCUAAAUUAUCCUUCUAAAUGAGUAAACCUUUAGGCUGGAAAAUCCUCUUGGCAAAGCCCUCUUUCCUUUGGUAAGUACAGCAAAAAGGAAAUGUGCAGUUUUGUAUGCAUAAGCAAAUAGGCCAGUGGAUCAUAAAACCAAUUGAAUCACCUCACACAUACAAUGAAGGAUGUGAAAGAACAACACUAUGCCAUUAGUAAUGAAAUGCCUCCCAUUAUGAUUUAUGGUCUUUAUGUAAAAAGAAUCUCAUUACAGCUAGGACUGGAUAAUUUUAAAAAAAAAUGUCCAGGUCAAUGCUAUGUAUGAUUUCUCUGUGAUGGCUCAUUGCUCUAAUAUCUUUACUUACUUACUUACUUAGGUGAUCCCUCAUUGUCCAAGUAUGAUUGUCUUCCAGGUGUACUGUCCUGGCAGUGGGUACGUAGGUGACUGUGGAGCCCUAUUCUUGAACCACAUGAUCUUCCACAGUAAAGACAUCAGUUUUCAGAUGGAAGGCGGUCCCAGUCAAGGUUGGCUUGCUGCGCCUUCCUCUUGGCAUAUUACAGUGCUCCCUCGCUAAUCCGCGGCUCGGGUUCAGCGGAUUCGCUGUAUUGUGGAUUUUUCCAUCCGGCCCGCCCUCCCUUUGCAGGCACAAAAGGGCCCAGUCUGAGUCAUGUGACCCGGCCCACGCUUCCGCCUGCAGGCAGCACCAGUAGGCCCUGCCUGCACCUCAUCGCCCCAGGAACAACAAGGAAGUCAGAACAGUAUGUUUAAAGAGGAAAAGAGGGAGGGAGGGAGGGAGGCUAUAUUUAUUGAAAUAAAUAUAGUGCCGCUAUAUCACAGUUUUCCACUUUUCGCGGGCAGGCCUGGAACCUAACCCCUGCAAAAAGUGAGGGGACACUGUACUCCCUUUCUCCCUCCAUUCGUACCUCUUCAAAUUCCUCAGCAUUGCUGAUCAUAGCUGACCUCCAGCUAGAGCGCUCAAGGGCCAGGGCUUCCAAGUUCUCGGUGUCUAUGCCACAGUUUUUAAGAUUAGCUUUAAGCCCAUCUUUAAAUCUCUUUUCCUGUCCACCAACAUUCCAUUUUCCAUUCUUGAGCUGGGAGUAUAGUAGCUGCUUUGGGAGAUGGUGAUCGGGCAUUCGGACAAUGUAGCCAGUUUAGCGGAGUUGAUGGCAUAGGAACAUUGCUUCAAUGCUGGUGGUCUUUGCUUCUUCCAGCAUGCUGACAUUUGUCCGCCUGUCUUCCCAAGAGAUUUGCAGGAUUCUUCAGAGGCAACACCUUGAGUAUGAUAUCCUUAGAUGAUCCAUGUUUUGCAGGCAUAUAGCAGGGUUGGGAGAACAAUAGCUUUAUGAAUAAGCACCUUGGUCUCCCUAUGGAUGUCCCAAUUCUCAAACACUCUCGGCUUCAUUUGGAAAAAUGCUGCAUUUGCAGAGCUCAGGCGGUGUCAUAUUUCAGUGUCAAUGUUGAAUUUUGUGGAAAGGUCGCUGCCAAGGUAGCAGAAAUGGUCAUCAUUUUCUAGUGUUACACCAUUAAGUAUUUUUGGCAUUGCAGAGGGAUUGGCUGGUGACUACUGAAAGAGCACUUUGGUUUUAUUGAUGUUCAGUGAGAGGCCGAGUGUCUCGUAUGCUUCUGCAAAAGUGUUUAGAGUGGCUUGUAGAACUUCUUCUGAAUGCGCACAGACUAUCAUCGGCAUAUUGGAGUUCUAUAACAGAUGUUGUUGUGACCUUGGUUUUGGCUUUGAGUCUGCUGAGGUUAAAUUGCUUGCCAUCCAUCCGAUAGAUGAUUUCCACUCCGGUGGGAAUCUUCCCAUCAACAAGAUGAAGUAUCAUAGUGAUGAAGAUGGAGCAUAAGGUUGGGGCAAUAACACAUCCCUGUUUGACACCUGAUUCCACCUUAAACGGGUCACUUUGGGAGCCAUUGCUAUCCAAGACUGUUGCCAACAUGUCAUUGUGGAGGAACUGCAGGAUGUUCACAAAUCUGUCAGGGCAUCCAAUUUUUUUGGAGGAUGGUCCAAAGAGCACUGCGAUUCACUGUGUUAAAUGCUUUUGCAAAGUCAGUGAAUGCUAUGUACAGAGGUUGAUUUUGUUCCCUGCAUUUUUCUUGGAGUUGUCAUGCAGUGAGGAUCAUGUCCACUGUCCCUCUGGAGGGGCAGAAGCCAUUCUGGGAUUCUGGGAGGGUGUCUUCUGAGAAGGUGGUUUGGAAGGAUUCUUGCAAGGAUUUUCCCAGUGAAGGUUAGAAGGGAGCUACCUCAAUCAUUUCCGCAGUCUGUUCUAUCCCCUUUCUUGGAAAGGGUGAAGAUGGUGGCAUCCUUGAAGUCUUCAGGGAUUUUCUCGGUCAUCCACACUUUUUCAAUGAGCUGGUGGCGUUGUUGUGUCAGCUUAGGUUCACCCUCUUUAAAGAUUUCAGCAGGGAUCCCAUAGGGUCCGCUGGCUUUGUUAUUUUUUUGUUGGCUGAUGGCAUUCCUAGAUUCCACCAAGCUAGGCAGCUCUGCAAGCUCAUCCCUGUUUUUUUGUUACGGGAUUUGUGAGAGAACCUCUGCAGCCACAUUGGAGUUGCGAUUCAGGAGGUUGUGGUAGUGCUCUUUCCAACGUAGUGUGUAGAGACAGGAUACGCUAUUCACAGGAGACACGUAUUCACUAGUACCUUUGAGUAGAAUGUCUCCAGGUUCUAACCUAAGUAUAGAUUUGGUUCUCAUUUUUUAUAAUUAUAACAUAUAGCUGAAACCAUGAGAUGCCUACAAGCUGCAAUGUAUGGCAAAAACAGCAGCCAGUCUCCUAAGCGGUUAACACAUUAUUUCAGAUUGCUAGGACCGACAUUAAUUUCCAGUAGACUUGUGGCACAGUUCAAGGUGUUACUAUAUAAUUAGCUGCUUCUGCACAUCUAAGAGACUCUGUCUCCCCCCAAGGUCCUGGUGUAAUAUCACAGGAACACUUCUGGCAUUUCAGUGAAAUGGGAUGACACUGCUUACUGUCACAUCUGUAUUAAAAAAAUCUUUUAGUCACUCAAAAAGGGUCAUCUUUUUCUGUCAAAGACCAAGUAAAGUAUACUGUUAUUUGCAACACACUAGUGUAUGUGAUGUUUGUUAAGAAACAACAGCAAAAAGGAAAAGACAGAUCAUGUUCCAAAGAGUUCAUGCAUAGCUGCAUCCAAAGGCUUGUUUAUCACUGUGCUGCUUUGUUUCCUAAUAUAUUCUCCUUAUCAGGUGGUUUAAUUGGCCCCUUGGCACCCCUUUUAAUGAUGUUCCUUACCUAAAGAAAGACUUGAUUUGAUUAAGCUGUUCAUGGUGGAUGUUGGUAAGUUCUCAUUAUCUUUAUGAAGUGAUUGUGACACAGAGAACCUCUAGGGGUCCUCCUAGGAUUUUUCCAAUAGCCUACAAAUUUGGCUUAGUGAUGUGUCUGGGAUGUUUUCUCCUUCACAGAAUAUUAUAUGAAACAAAUGUCGUUUUUUGACAUUAACCAAGAAACCUAAGCUCCAGAUGCAGGACACCUAAGCCUAGUGAUUUAUGGACAACAGAGUUUCAUGUUACACAACACUUCAUAGGUAACCAUGGCCAGCAGCCAUCUUGAACAUCAAACCAGCCACAUGAAUUUUGAUGCUUGAUUCUUGGCCAGCUUUAACAUUCAUCAGCUGGUUUGAUGAUACACAGUUCUUUGAGAGGUUUAUGUUCAUUCCUCUUCAAAGAUGAUCCACAAAGGUAAAAGGAUAUUUAUAUUUAGUCUAGCAGGAAAGGCCAAAGGCUCUGCUAUGUGUGAUUUAUAUGGCUCAGAAAUACAUAUUGCACUAUAGUAACUCAGUUACAAAUGAAAUACAGCCUGGAAUCUGAAUCCUACAUUGAUUUCUUUGGAAGCAAGCCCUGUUGAUUUCAGUGACCCUUAUAUCCACAUAAGAAGCUCUUCAGUACGUAACAGAACCCAGUUGGAACAGCAGGAAUGUAGACUGUGCACAUCUGUGUGGAGCUAAUUACAUUGUGACAGUCUGAUUAUGCUGUGGCUUCAGAACACAGUCAGCCCUCUCCAUUUGCAGGUUUGGCUUUUGCAUGUUUAAUUAUUUAUGGAUUUGAAUAAAAUGUUCUCUUUAGACAUCCCUAGGUCCUCUAGUGUGACUCUAUUGUCAGUUUCCACUGGAGGACCUAAAGAUUCCUAGAAAGAUGUUCUCUCAGACUGAAAAAUUUAAAUUUGUUAUUUUGUAGUUUUUACCUUCCUGGGGGUCCAACGCCCAAACCCCAGUGAAUAUUUCAUCUUGAAAUAUAGCCUACAAUGGCCCCAUCAUUCCACUGUAAAAAUGCUGAGAACAUAUUCUUCAACUGUUCUGGUUUGGAAGGUCCAGCAAUCAUCAUAAGUUAGCAGGUGACUUGAAGGUACACACACACACAUGUAGGAAUGAACUUUUUUAAAAAUGUCACCAAACAAUCAAAUCUGCUUGAUAAAUACUUCACCAUGUACCCGAGUUUGCAUGAAUCCCAUAAACUGAAUCUUUCUGGGAUAAAUUUGAAAAUUGAAACCUCAGAGAUUUAAAUAUUCCCUAGUCUGAGCUGGUUUGAUCUAGACUGGAGUCACCUGUGCUUAUCUUGAAGGCUUAAAAAGGGCUUUUAAAUAAUUUUUAAAAAUAACUUUAAAAACCAGCAAAGUUUAUAUUAACUCAUACAUCAUUAGCCAUGUAUGAAAUCAACAACAAGAUCACAUCAAUCAUGAGAAUUUGAUUAUUUUAUGGAAUAUCACCCUUUUUUAGGGAGCGUCUAAGCAUCUCAGUAAAGUUAACCAACCUGGCUGCAAAUGAUUCUUGGGCACAGAAUUAUAAUAUUGCAUUUAUUUUCAAAACAGUCUAUUUAAAAAGGAGGGGGAGGAAAUGUUCAAGAAGACAUUAAGCCAACUUUCCUCCCUCUUGGCUGGUGAUCUUAUUUAAUCUUAUGGUCCUCAUGCCCUUGUUUGCAGAAAAUCUCUCCUACCCUGUUUUCCUGCAAAUAAGACAUUCCCUGAAAAUAAGACCUAGUAGAGGUUUUGCUGAAUUGCUCAAUAUAAGGCCUCCCCCAAAAGUAAGACCUAGCAAAGUUUGUGUUUGGAAGUAUACCUGCUGAACAGAACACCAGAGCAUACAGGAUUGGUAAAUGUACAUACCAUAGAUUUUUGUACAUGGAAAUAAUGGUAGUAACAAGAAAUUCUUGAUAGGGUUCACAGCUCAUUUGGUUAUGCUGGUUUGUGAUAACUAUACAGUAUAUAAUAAAUUUUCUUUUUUUUGUUCAACAAUAAAUGUGAAUUCUUCUUUAUGGAAAAAUAAGACAUCCCCUGAAAAUAAGACCUAGCGCAUCUUUGGGAGCAAAAAUUAAUAUAAGACACUGUCUUAUUUUCGGGGAAACACGGUACCUUGUUUCAUCUGAGAGCCAAUGUGAUGCAGUGGCUCGAAUGUUGGACUAGAACUCUGAAGACCAGGAUAUGAUUCCCUGCUCUGCCCUGAAAACUGAUUGAACCUGAGCAAGUCACAUUAUUUCAGGCCCAGAAAGUCCAUUGAAGGCACUCAACAACAAAUCUUUUACCCUAUCCUAUAAAAAGAGUAGACCGUACCUCUUGAGUUGAUCAGAUACUUCUCAAACUAGAGGUGCUUAAACUAGAGGUGCAGAACCAAUGACCCUUCCGAUAAUGGACUACAACUCCCAUCACUCCAAGCAUUGUCCAUGCUGAUAUAAACUUGUGUCCAAUGAUACCUGGAGGUUGAGGGCUAGGCAUGCUCUACUUUUGGUUUAAACCAGUGGUUCUCAACAUGUGGGUCCCCAGAUGUUUUGGCCUUCAACUCCCAGAAAUCCUAACAACUGGUAAACUGGCUGGAAUUUCUGGGAGUUGUAGGGCAAAACACCUGGGGACCCAUAGGAUGAGAACCACUGGUUUAAACAAUAAAGGUGAGGUGCAACAGACUGAUCCAAUAAUGGGAGGAGUUUAACUUUAAUCAUAAAAAGCAGGGAAAUAUAUAGUACUGUACUCCUAUGAAAUCUCACUUAACAUAUUGCCUUUAAAUUGUUGCCUAUGUAUGACAGAUUUAUCCUCAGCAAAUUGAUACCUAUACGUGACAAAUGUAUCCCCAGAAAAUUAAGAAUGUUUUAAUAAUGGGCAUAGGAUUUGGGAGUGAAAUAAGUCACUUAGAGGUGCAAUUAUACCUCCAAGCAAACAAGAUGUUUUAAAUGAGAUUUCCAGAUUCAGAAACAGAGCUGGUCUCAAGGCAGCUGACUAAAUUUAAAAAUCUAGCUAAUAGGCCCCAGGUUUAAAGUAAACUGAGCAUAUUUUGAGCAUAGAAAUGUGCAAGAUGAAUGUGGGACAUUAUUAUUGCUGAGAUAAAGUCCACACAGUUAUCACAUUUUCCCCUAUGUGCAAUAUCUGAAGCAUCCCUCAGUCAGUGUGAUCAAAGAAUUUUAUUAAAGCACACAUAAGCGUUAGUUUGGUGGUGUGACUGAAUACAAAAUACCACAGUGGUCUUACUGGAUCUAGUGCUGUUUUAAAUUUAAAAGGAACUCUCGUCACUUUAUCUGAAAAUAAUACAGCUUUUCCCUUCGGGUACAGAUGGGAACUGUCUCACAGCAACUUUGAUUUGCAUGGUCCCAUAGAGAUAAUGCCUGAUUGAUAAGUACUCUUAAGAGAAGAAUGAAAGGAAAUAGCAAUUGUUCUAGUAGUAAAAGGAUGAGAAAGGAAGCAAACAAUAAAUGAUGCCCGAGUCCUGUUCACUGUCCUUUCUGCAUUGAGCCAUUUUUAAACUUUGCUCUAAAACCUGGUGAUUUAGGGGGGGGGGGGGACCUAGAUCUUCAAUAACACCAGAGCUGAAACUAAUAGAGAAUAUAUUCUUCUCUUGUGAAUGGGUGUUUGCUUUUACUUAGGGCUCUCAGAUCUCAGGAUCUGGGCCAGAGCCACAGGGAUUGGACUUUUUUCUCUAAUCCUCAGGGUGAAGAAUCUCAGGGUUAGAGCAUACCUUUGAAAAUCCUCAAGAUCCCUGGCUAUUUUAGACUAUUUUGUGUUCAGAGCGAAUCUUAACAAACAGAUCUUAAGUUGAGCCUGCAGUGUGUUCUUAAAAGCAGUGCUUUCAAAGAUGUUAAAACAGAGUUGGAGAAAAAUUCUGUCUAUACAGUUUCUUUUUCUGCUCUAUAGGGACCUUGAAAAGUCCAUUCUGUUAAUAUAUUUAGAAAUUGUUCCUAAGAUAUGUCAGACUUGUUGUUCAUUAUUUGAAUGACAGAUUCUGGACAAUUUGGCUGAUAUUUAAUAUCUCACAGCCCAAAAAGCCAAUGCAAUUCAAGGUUGCACCAACUGGACUAUCAAGUUCACAUUUCAAACAUAAUACCACCACUCUAUUUCUUUUCUGGUCAGGCUUUACAUGGAGUCCUAUUUCCAUUUCUCAAGUAAAAGAAGCUGGAAUAUGUCCAAAGCAGGGUGACCAAGACAUCAAAGGUUUGGAAACCAAGCCCUGUGAGAAAGGAUUUAGGGAGCUGGAUGUGUUUAGCUUGGAGAAAGGGAGUGGUGAUGUGAUUAUUGUUGUGUGUGUGUGUGUGUGUGUGUGUGUGUGUGUAAAGGAAUGUCAUGUAGAAAAUGGAACACACUUAUUUUAUGCUGCUCCAGUGACUAAAGCACAAAAUAAUAUAUUCAAACUGGGAGAAAAGAAAUUCCAUCUAACCCUUAGGAACAAGUUCUUAAUUGUAAGAGCUGUUUGACAGUGGAAUAGACUGUCUCAGUGGGUGGUGGCCUCUUCUUCAGAAGUUUUAAAAGAGAAGUUGGGUAGUUAUUUUUUUUCAAAUGCUAUAGUUUUGUAUUCUUGCAAACUGAUAGGCAUCUAAAGAUGGAUGCAUAAAACACUUUAAAAGCCAUUCCGAUUUAAAAGAAGCAUGCGUAAAAAUGCAACAACAGACAACCCCCCGCCCCAGAAGUACAAAUAACCAACAUUUGUAGGAAAGAGAUUAGGAGGGCUAAAUGUAAGAAUGAGCCCAGACCUGCAAAAUAUUCUAAAGUGACAGAAGCUGGGAUCAGCUAUGUUCAGUGCAAGAGAAAAAAAAAUUAGUGGAUCAAAUGCAAAGAGAAGAUGUUGAAAUAUAUAGAGAGAAAACAGAACUGCUUGUCCCCUUGUGAGCCGCCCCGAGUCCCUUCGGGGAGAUGAAGGAGGGAUAUAAAAAUAUCAUAUAAAAUUAUUAUUAUUAUUAUUAUUAUUAUUAUUACUUCUUCAGUUGUUGUUAAAAUGAACCAGUUUUUCUCUUUUCAUCCCACUUUUUCUUACUUCAAUCGCAACAAACUUAAUUCAAAGUGAAAAAGUCCUUUACACUCAAUUAACUCAGCAGGAGAAGAAGCAGAGCUGGGAAUAGAAUCUUGCUCUCCUGGGUAGGCUGAGGCAAAAGCAAAGCUCUGCAGCCUCUUCUAGUUUUCUCCUUUAUCACCUCCUUACUUGUUGUUGGCUGCAACUCUCCCAGUUCCUUAUUUAUUCUGUUUCUACAGGACUGUGCACAGCUUCAUAUACUCCAUCAUUUCACAGAUGAAAACCAGGAUGUGUGUCCCCAGGCAACCUCAGAAUGUGGCUAAGAUUUAGAUUAAGCAACAGGGCAACUUUCUGAUAGUCCUGUUCAGCUGUGGAAGAUACUACUUCAGAAGAUGGUGGACUUUCCUUCAUUGCAGAUUUUUAAACAGAAGUUAGAAGGGGAUCUUUCAGGAAUGUUCCUGCUGUGAAUUUCAGCACUGGCUGUGGGCCGGAUAAUGGCCCUGGGUUUUUUCAACUCUAUUCUAUGAUUCUGUGGUCUUCCAUCCAAGUAUCAACUUGCAUUCAUUCCAAAAUCAGAGCAUAUUGGGUUUGUUCAGCAUUGUAUGUUGAUAGAGGAAGAAGGUUGUAGCAGAGAAAGGCAGUCAACUGAGAAUAUAGGGACAAAGUUCUGGCCCAGCUUAUCUGUCUGAACGUGUCCCCCCGCUACGACCCACCUCAAAGCUUAAGAUCAGAGACAGGGCCUUUUCAGUAGUGGCUCCCCGCCUAUAGUACGCCCCCCCCCCCCAGUGAAGUCAGGCAAGCUCCCUCUUUCCUAUCUUUCCAUAGGAAAGUUAAAACUUGGUUGUGGGGCCAGGCUUUCAAAUAACAAUUAGCAGCACUAAUUAUUAUUAUGUACGCUGGAACGCAAUUGACAGACCCAGUCUUUUAGACUCGAACAUGCCCAUUUGUAUUUUAUAAGUGUUUUUAUGAAUUCUGAUGUAAUUUAAUAACUUUUAAAUUGAUUUACAAUGUAUUGUACAAUUUUAUAUAUGUGUUUUAUUGUAAGCCGCCCCGAGUCCCCUAUUGGGUGAGAAGGGCGGGAUAUAAAUAUUGUAAUAAACAAAUAAACAAAUAAAUAAAUAAAACAUGG